GAGCGGAGAAGAGGAGAGAGAAGCUAAAACCCUACGGAGCGAGCACGAAUCUCAAAGCGACCGGCCGAGCUCGUUAAAGGUUCGAAGCUUGAGAGGGUGGCGAUGGAGAUGAAGAGCUAGGGCUUGAUCCGUACUAGUUAGGGUUUUGGAGGGAGCUAGGGUUUUGGCUGUUUGUGAGCGGGUUUUGGUCUACGAUGGUAGCUUUGUCCUCGUUUAGGCUGCAGCUGUUGCUGGUCGCUGCGUCCUUUUCAAUCGCGCUCCUCUUCGUUAUGGCCUUUUCUUCUUCUUCUUCUUCUGGAAUUUCACGGCAACUGUUUGAUCGCCCGAGGAUGGAAGUCCGUUACAGUUUGAGCCGUAAGCUUCUGUCGCAAGGCGCAACAGCGAACACGACGAC